GUGACGCCCAGGUGGACCUAGUUGGGCACUGAAUACAUACCAGUAAAAACAGAAGUUUACAUUCAUACACUGCCGUACAGUGUACACAAUCCCUCCCAUCUGCCUGUGAUACAAUUAACAAAGACAAUGGGUUAACUCAAUUAACUCUAAGCAGAAAAACAUACAUGUUUACAAAGUCUGUAAAACACCCCAAAACACCACAUAUCCCCAACCAUCUUACAGCGCAAAAAAAAAAAUCACCCAGUUCAGAGCAGGGGUUCAAAAAUUUUAUGGAAGUCAACAGUACCAUAGAUUCACGGCUAAGUGCCGCUCGAGGACCGACAGGGAACCACAAGGUAUUCAUGCCGAAAAUAGUUCCAGGACAUUUAUGGCUAAGUCCCCCUGAAGUCUAUCCCCCUGAAGUCUAUCGGUGUUUUUAGCCCAUGCGAACAAGAUGGACUGAGGUACUGACCGACAGAAGGUCAAGUACCUGGUUAGUCUCCCCUGGAAAGGGAAGAUGUGUGAUGAAAGCAACUUUGCCACUGGUCUUUGGAGAGGAGUAAUGCUCUGUGACUAUGGCCCCUUUAAUUUAUUUUGGCUGAGAGACCUUAAUUGUGCCUAUUGGGACAUGUUCGAAUGUCGGCAUCUUAGACUGUUCGGGAGUUCGAAAAACCAAAUGUUUAAAGUCCCAAUAGGCACAAUUAAGGUCUCUCAGCCAAAAUAAAUUAAAGGGGCCAUAGUCACAGAGCAUUACUCCUCUCCAAAGACCAGUGGCAAAGUUGCUUUCAUCACACAUCUUCCCUUUCCAGGGGAGACUAACCAGGUACUUGACCUUCUGUCGGUCAGUACCUCAGUUAGUCGAGUAGCCCACCCACAACAAGCAAUUACUGGACCUGGUGACUGUGGUCAUGAUCCCCAGUGUAAUUAUGGCAGUUCCCUACACACGAGACAAGGCUGCGAGUUGAGGGUAAGAUGGUCUGACAGUUUAAUGGCACACACUGUUUUUUUAUACAAGUUUUACAGCAAAGGAGCCCAGGUGGACCUAGUUGGGCACCGAAUAUAAAACAUAAAAACUAGUAAAAACAGAGGUUUACAUUCAUAUACUCCCAUACAGUGUACACAAUCCCUCCCCUCUGCAUGUGAAACAAUCAACGAAGACAAUGGGCUAACUCAAUUAACUCUAAGCAAAAAAACAUAAAUUUUUACAAAGUCUGGAAAACACCCCAAAACACCACAUAUCCCCACAAAUCUUACAGCCCUGAUCUGGGUGAACAACAUAUCCAAAAAUCAACCAGAUCAGAGUAGGGGUUCAAAAAUUUAAUUUAUUUUUCAAUAAAUUGAAUAUGUGGUUCGAUUUGGGGCACCAGUUUUAAAGAAGGGAUUUAGGGGCUAGAGAAAGUGGCUAAAACAUUAAUAAGGAGAAAGGAAGAGUAGGUAUGAAGAAAGAAUAAAAAAAAUUGCAUUGGGCUCCAUACUAAGCAGACAUGUAUGGAAGGAGCUCCUUGGUUAUCAGCGAUUAAUCUGACUUUUAAGCAACUUACUGUGCCCCAUAUCAGUCUCUAGAGCGGCCUCACCUGCUUGUGAACACACCGGUGCUUGAUUCUAGCUAGGUUGAUUCCAGCAACCCAGAGUCCCAGGUGUUUGAUGAUUGAGGGGUAAGGGCCUGGUAAGCCCUGAAGGCGUGAUAUAUGGCCGUUCCCCUGCCUCACGGUGGCUUGAUUACUAGAAGCAUCAGCGGACAUCCUCCCCGUUCCCUUCCCCCCUGUCCCCUUUGGAUCGGCGGGUUUAUCCCGGUCUGUAGUGGACAGGCCUCGGUUACUCCUAAAACCUAGCUGACAGCCCCAUCACAUGUCAAAGCGAUUAUACUCACCUAAGAUGGCGGCUUUUCAAGAGUUUAAGCAACAUGCAGUACAGCAGAAAUUUCACUGGAGAGCAACCUUUCUUGAGGCAAUCGAAGCUGUAAGUCUGACUCUCCAGCAAACCCUUGAUUUAUGAUAAUGCAGACACUAAAAACUUGGAUAUCAGGGGGCUGUCUAGGGAAACCAGAUUUAUAGCCUCUUGGGCCUGGGUUUAGAUCCACCUCCCCUGAGGUUCACUAUAAAAACUCUGUGACAGAACCAUCUGUCUGUUUAUUGCAGGUGGAUUCGUCUGUUUCUGCCCGUUCAUGUAAAUGGCUGUUUCCUAUAGCCCAGCCAUACGAAUGACUGUUUUUCCCGAACAAAACUACUGAACGGAUGGCCACCCAGGAGAGACGUGUGCUGCUGGUUAACCUAUUGAUCCCAAUUAGAACGUUGUGGUUAACCGCAGACACUUCUCAAUUAAACCGAAUUCAGGGUGGUCGUCGUUCGUAUGUCGACCACGAGGCAGCGGCCAUUUUAAAACAGACGAAAGCCCAGCGGUGUUCGGCUCUAUUUUCAUGGAAUUAAAAACAAACACUUUUUCUGCCAAACACCGCUGAAACGACGGAACGCCUGGCUGCCUCCACGAAAGCAUACGAACAUCGGCCGUUCGGGAGUUUUGAAGCACACGAAAGGACUUAACCCAGAUAGCCUUCCCAUGGAGUCAAUCGCAUACCGAAAGACUGUAAGAACUUUGACUCCAUGGCGAUUGAACUAUGUGUGUGGGAUCUGAGUGCUAUUCGCUAAUAAUAUGCAUUCAGAUCCAGGCUAUCUGGGGAUAUGUGAUGCGAAUGGGAAAUGUUCGGUUAUUUUAAAGUUAUGUAUUUUUAUGCAUUUUCUGGUUUUAUAUUUAUGAUGGCGACUGUCUUUGUCCUGGAGAUAAUUGAAUUACUUCUUAAUUAUCUCCAGGGCAGAGGGGAGUAAACCAUAGUGCAUUGUGGGUAAAAGCUGUGACUGUAUGUCUGAAAUGUCCCCAUGUCUAUCUGUCAUUACAGAUCUCCCAUUUGGUCCCCUAGGGGAGUGUCCCCCAAGUGGGAGACCUGCAUAAAUACGGGCAGGUAGCCCACAGUAAAGCCAGAUCCUGUUUGACCCUCAAUGCGGAGCUUCUGUCUCGUUAUUGGGGGGAUUUCUUCUUUGCGCUUAGAGACUGCUGAUUGGAACCGAAAGCCGCUUGGUGGAUAUUGUUGUUCGGCGGCUAGCAGCAGUUCGUGGAUUCCCGUUCGGGAGUUUGGAGCCAUUCACGGAUCCCGGUCGGGAGUUUGCCGCUUCCCCUGAGGUUGGUUCGUACACUGCAGUUUAUGCGAACGGACAUUAUUGGUAUUGCAGAAGGGGAAGGCUAACUAAACGGCGGUUUCGUUUCAAGACACCAGGGGUGUCUUAACAAACUCUUUGAGCGCACUGUCCACCAUUCAGCAGAGGAUGGGGUUUGUGGCCUACUGAUCUUGGCUCUCAAUCAGACCUUGGGCAGGAGCUCUGACGCUAUGGAGCAGCACUUGGGCCCUAGGACUGGUCUACGGCUGACAUCUUGUAGACAGAGGCGCUAUCAGAGGCCCAUUCUGAAAGUGGGAAUAGGAUGAUUCUGGAGGCUUAUAACACCCGAACACAGAAUCUCAAGUGAAAUGUCAUAGCUACGUGCUUGCUACCACUUAUGUUUUACUAGAUUUUAGUAUGUUUAUUAUUUUUUGUUAACAGUUGACUACCCAUCUU